rnacentral:rRNA from 1 species
UGCGAGUCUUGGGUUAACCAAGGCGGACCGCUCAGUAACACGUAGUCAAUCUGCCCUUGGGCUCGGUCUAAUCCCGGGAAACUGGGGCCGAGGACCGGAUAGGCAAGGGAUGCUGGAAUGCGCCUUUGCUGAACCAAGGAUGAGACUGCGGCCUAUCAGGUUGUUGCCAGGCUAAAAUCCUGACAAGCCUUUGACGGGUACGGGCCUUGAGAGAGGAAGCCCGGAGAUGGAUUCUGAGACACUAAUCCAGGUCCUACGGGGCGCAGCAGCUGCGAAACUUUCGCAAUGGGCGAAAGCCUGACGAAGGAAUUUGGAGUGCCUCCUCCAAUGGAGGGGGCUUUUGCCGAGUCUAAAUAGCUCGGUGAAUAAGUGGUGGGUAAUACGGGUGCCAGCCGCCGCGGUAAUACCCGAGCCACGAGUGGUGACCACGUUUAUUGGGCUUAAAGCGUUCGUAGCCUGCCCGGAAAGUCUCUGAUGAAAUCCUGCAGUCAACUGCAGGGCUUGUCAGGGAUACUAUCGGGCUUGGGACCGGGAGAGGUGCAGGGUAUUCCUGGGGUAGGAGUAAAAUCCUAUAAUCCCAGGAGGACCACCUGGUGGCGAAGGCGCUGCGCUAGAACGGAUCCGACGGUGAGGGACGAAAGCCAGGGGAGCGAAGCGGAUUAGAUACCCGCGUAGUCCUGGCCGUAAACGAUGCCCACUAGACAUUGGCAACCUC